GCUUACGUUUUGAGUGUGAAUAGCGUGCGCCCGCGUCUGAAUGUAAUUAUCGUUUAAAAUUGAAAAUUGUUUGUGUUAAAGAAAGAUAAGAAUUCGAAAUUCGAUACUGGUAUCUUUUGAACAUGCGUAGUUCUUUCUUGGAGCGUCAACAGAUGGCGUGGAUGAUGGAUUGAGGAAGGAAUAAGGAAAAGGAAGUCCCAACUGAAUUUAUGUCUACAUUUUUCCGGUGGCGCAGUUUGGGGCUAUCAUGUACAGAGUGCAGUAGAAAGGGAACAAUAGGGCGACGCGACAGAUGAUCAUGAUCUUCUCCAUUGUAGUUUUACGACGGAAUCCAGGGACACCUUCGUACCAGAUAGAGGCCAGCAAUUGUUGGAUGUUAGGGCUGGUUCGUCAGGAUCAUGAUUGAGAAUGAUGGCCAGCUCUUGGGAGCUUCGGGAUUGAUCGAGCAGAUCUACAGCAAACAGUUGCGCCUGUCUCCGUAGUUCCAG